rnacentral:rRNA from 1 species
ACGAACGCUGGCGGCGUGCUUAACACAUGCAAGUCGUACGGUAAGGCCCUUUCGGGGGUCCACGAGUGGCGAACGGGUGAGUAACACGUGAGUAACCUGCCCACAACUUUGGGAUAACGCUAGGAAACUGGUGCUAAUACUGGAUAUGUGCUCCUGCUGCAUGGUGGGGGUUGGAAAGCUCCGGCGGUUGUGGAUGGACUCGCGGCCUAUCAGCUUGUUGGUGGGGUAGUGGCCUACCAAGGCGGCGACGGGUAGCCGGCCUGAGAGGGUGACCGGCCACAUUGGGACUGAGAUACGGCCCAGACUCCUACGGGAGGCAGCAGUGGGGAAGAUUGCACAAUGGGCGCAAGCCUGAUGCAGCAACGCCGCGUGCGGGAUGACGGCCUUCGGGUUGUAAACCGCUUUCAGCAGGGACGAAGCUUUUUGUGACGGUACCUGCAGAAGAAGCACCGGCUAACUACGUG